UUGAACUGGGACUCCCUUUCUGCGUCACCCCUUCCGCGGGAUGUACUCUGAAACUUUUUCAACUUCCUUAAGAUUUGCUGUUUUCACCUGCUGGAAUAGAAACCCCAUGAGUGCGGAGUGUGUGUCUGUCUCAGGCUACGUUCCAUACAGGACUGCUACUUCAAGGCCAUUGCCAUGUUUGCUCUGAUGCUCCUUCAUGAUUCUCUGGGGAAGCCAGCCAAAGUGCAUUGACAAGAUUAGACAGAACUGGAGGCCUGUCACUUUUACUGUGUGGAGACUGACAAUCAAAGCCAACAACACAGAAGGCAGAAUGCAGUCCUCUGAAUCUUGACUCCUUUUAUUUUAUUUAUUUUUAAAAGUUUCUUCUUCUUAUUUAA